rnacentral:rRNA from 1 species
GGCUGGUGAUGGCGUGCCUUUUGAAGAAUGAGCCUGCGAGUUAGUGGCAUGUCGCGAGGUUAACCCGUGUGGGGUAGCCGUAGCGAAAGCGAGUCCGAAUAGGGCGUAUCACCGUUUGGUGUGUAGUGGCGUGUUCUAGACCCGAAGCGGAGUGAUCUACCCAUGGCCAGGUUGAAGCGACGGUAAGACGUCGUGGAGGACCGAACCCACUUAGGUUGAAAACUGAGGGGAUGAGUUGUGGGUAGGGGUGAAAGGCCAAUCAAACUCCGUGAUAGCUGGUUCUCCCCGAAAUGCAUUUAGGUGCAGCGUCACGUGUUUCUCAUCGGAGGUAGAGCUACUGGAUGGUCUAGGGGGCUUACCGGCUUACCGAAAUCAGCCAAACUCCGAAUGCCGGUGAGUGAGAGCGUGGCAGUGAGACUGCGGGCGAUAAGGUUCGUAGUCGAGAGGGAAACAGCCCAGAUCGCCAGCUAAGGUCCCUAAGCGUGUACUAAGUGGAAAAGGAUGUGGGGUCGCGAAGACAACCAGGAGGUUGGCUUAGAAGCAGCCACCCUUGAAAGAGUGCGUAAUAGCUCACUGGUCAAGUGAUCCUGCGCCGACAAUGUAGCGGGGCUCAAGUACACCACCGAAGCUGCGGCACUCACACAACAGCCCGCAUCGUUCCUACGGGGAUGGUGCCAGGUGUGUGGGUGGGUAGGGGAGCGUCGUGCAGCCGUGGAAGCAUCGGGGUGACCUAGGUGUGGAGGCUGUGCGAGUGAGAAUGCAGGCAUGAGUAGCGAAAGACGAGUGAGAAACUCGUCCGCCGAAUGACCAAGGGUUCCUGGGCCAGGUUAAUCCGCCCAGGGUGAGUCGGGACCUAAGACGAGGCCGACAGGCGUAGCCGAUGGACAACGGGUUGAUAUUCCCGUACCCGUGUGAACGCGCCCCUGGUGAAUCAGUGAUACUAACCGCCCUGAAUCCCGGUGACGGAUCUCUUUCGAGAGUGAUGCGCUGGGUGGAUGCGUGGGACCUGAUCUGGUAGUAGCCAAGCGAUGGGGUGACGCAGGAAGGUAGCUGAGCCAGUCAGUGGUAAUACUGGUGUAAGCCUGUAGGGCGAGACAUAGGCAAAUCCGUGUCUCAUACAAGCCUGAGAGGUGAUGCGUAGCCGAUUGAGGCGAAUUCAGUGAUCCUAUGCUGCCGAGAAAAGCCUCUAGCGAGCUUUCACACGGCCCGUACCCCAAACCGACACAGGUGGUCAGGUAGAGAAUACUGAGGCGAUCGAGAUAACUAUGGUUAAGGAACUCGGCAAAAUGCCCCCGUAACUUCGGGAGAAGGGGGACCUCGUCCGGUGAUCAUCCUUGCGGUGUGAGCUGGGUGGGGUCGCAGAGACCAGUGAGAAGCGACUGUUUACUAAAAACACAGGUCCGUGCGAAGUCGUAAGACGAUGUAUACGGACUGACGCCUGCCCGGUGCUGGAAGGUUAAGAGGACCGGUCAACUGCACUUGUGUGGUGAAGCUGAGAAUUUAAGCCCCAGUAAACGGCGGUGGUAACUAUAACCAUCCUAAGGUAGCGAAAUUCCUUGUCGGGUAAGUUCCGACCUGCACGAAUGGCGUAACGACUUCUCAGCUGUCUCAACCAUAGACUCGGCGAAAUUGCAUUACGAGUAAAGAUGCUCGUUACGCGCGGCAGGACGAAAAGACCCCGGGACCUUCACUAUAGCUUGGUAUUGGUGUUCGGUUCGGUUUGUGUAGGAUAGGUGGGAGACUGUGAAGCGGUGACGCCAGUUACUGUGGAGUCGUUGUUGAAAUACCACUCUGAUCGUAUUGGAUACCUCAACCUCGGACCAUGAUCUGGUUCAGGGACAGUGCCUGGUGGGUAGUUUAACUGGGGCGGUUGCCUCCCAAAAUGUAACGGAGGCGCCCAAAGGUUCCCUCAGCCUGGUUGGCAAUCAGGUGUCGAGUGCAAGUGCACAAGGGAGCUUGACUGUGAGACUGACAGGUCGAGCAGGGACGAAAGUCGGGACUAGUGAUCCGGCACCGGCAUGUGGAAGCGGUGUCGCUCAACGGAUAAAAGGUACCCCGGGGAUAACAGGCUGAUCUUCCCCAAGAGUCCAUAUCGACGGGAUGGUUUGGCACCUCGAUGUCGGCUCGUCGCAUCCUGGGGCUGGAGUAGGUCCCAAGGGUUGGGCUGUUCGCCCAUUAAAGCGGCACGCGAGCUGGGUUUAGAACGUCGUGAGACAGUUCGGUCUCUAUCCGCCGCGCGCGUCAGAAACUUGAGGAAGGCUGUCCCUAGUACGAGAGGACCGGGACGGACGAACCUCUGGUGUGCCAGUUGUUCCACCAGGAGCACCGCUGGUUAGCUACGUUCGGAAGGGAUAACCGCUGAAAGCAUCUAAGCGGGAAGCCUGUUCCAAGAUGAGGUUUCUCACCCCCUUUGU